rnacentral:rRNA from 1 species
GUGCAUAGUGGCGGCGUGCUAUACAUGCAAGUCGAACGAAACUUUCUUACACCGAAUGCUUGCAUUCACCGUAAGAAGUUGAGUGGCGGACGGGUGAGUAACACGUGGGUAACCUGCCUAAAAGAAGGGGAUAACACUUGGAAACAGGUGCUAAUACCGUAUAUCUCUAAGGAUCGCAUGAUCCUUAGAUGAAAGAUGGUUCUGCUAUCGCUUUUAGAUGGACCCGCGGCGUAUUAACUAGUUGGUGGGGUAACGGCCUACCAAGGUGAUGAUACGUAGCCGAACUGAGAGGUUGAUCGGCCACAUUGGGACUGAGACACGGCCCAAACUCCUACGGGAGGCAGCAGUAGGGAAUCUUCCACAAUGGACGCAAGUCUGAUGGAGCAACGCCGCGUGAGUGAAGAAGGUCUUCGGAUCGUAAAACUCUGUUGUUAGAGAAGAACACGAGUGAGAGUAACUGUUCAUUCGAUGACGGUAUCUAACCAGCAAGUCACGGCUAACUACGUGCCAGCAGCCGCGGUAAUACGUAGGUGGCAAGCGUUGUCCGGAUUUAUUGGGCGUAAAGGGAACGCAGGCGGUCUUUUAAGUCUGAUGUGAAAGCCUUCGGCUUAACCGGAGUAGUGCAUUGGAAACUGGAAGACUUGAGUGCAGAAGAGGAGAGUGGAACUCCAUGUGUAGCGGUGAAAUGCGUAGAUAUAUGGAAGAACACCAGUGGCGAAAGCGGCUCUCUGGUCUGUAACUGACGCUGAGGUUCGAAAGCGUGGGUAGCAAACAGGAUUAGAUACCCUGGUAGUCCACGCCGUAAACGAUGAAUGCUAGGUGUUGGAGGGUUUCCGCCCUUCAGUGCCGCAGCUAACGCAAUAAGCAUUCCGCCUGGGGAGUACGACCGCAAGGUUGAAACUCAAAGGAAUUGACGGGGGCCCGCACAAGCGGUGGAGCAUGUGGUUUAAUUCGAAGCAACGCGAAGAACCUUACCAGGUCUUGACAUCCUUUGACCACCUAAGAGAUUAGGCUUUCCCUUCGGGGACAAAGUGACAGGUGGU